rnacentral:rRNA from 1 species
UACGGAGGGGGCUAGCGUUGUUCGGAAUUACUGGGCGUAAAGCGCGCGUAGGCGGAUCUGCAAGUCGGGGGUGAAAUCCCGAGGCUCAACCUCGGAACUGCCUUCGAUACUGCGGGUCUCGAGUCCGGGAGAGGUGAGUGGAAUUCCUAGUGUAGAGGUGAAAUUCGUAGAGAUCAGGAAGAACAUCGGUGGCGAAGGCGCUCUGCUGGACCAUAACUGACACUCAGGGACGAAAGCUAGGGGAGCGAAUGGG